AUUUUCUCGCCUCAGCCUCCCGAGUAGCUGGGAUUACAGAUGCCACUGCGAGAACAGGAACAAUGGAACAGGCCCUCACCAAAUGCCAAAUGUGCUAUCACCUUGAUUUUGGAUUUCCCAGCCUCCAGAACUGAAAUACACAGUGAAGGAUUGAGGUGUAAAGGGGCAUCGUAUCUCUGAGUCACUCUGAAAAGGUUCCAAAGGAAGCAGAGGAGAGAAAGCAAGUGUGAUUGAAUGUUCACAUCUGGGAAAUCUGGAUGAAGGUUAGCGAGGAGUCCUUUGUAUCAUUUUCACAACUUUUCUGUAAGUCUGAAAUUAAGUAAAAAGAAAUACUUUAAAGAAGAAAAUGUGCAAUAUUUAUUUAAAAUGUAUAUGAUGAAUAUAAAAUACUGGGAAGAGGUUAGGUA